GACGAACGCUGGCGGCGUGCUUAACACAUGCAAGUCGAACGGUAAGGCCCUUCGGGGUACACGAGUGGCGAACGGGUGAGUAACACGUGGGUGAUCUGCCCUGCACUUCGGGAUAAGCCUGGGAAACUGGGUCUAAUACCGGAUAGGACUCCGGCCUGCAUGGUCUGGGGUGGAAAGCUUUUGCGGUGUGGGAUGGGGCCGCGGCCUAUCAGCUUGGUGGUGGGGUGAUGGCCUACCAAGGCGACGAAGGGUAGCCGGUCUGAGAGGGGGACCGGCCACACUGGGACUGAGAUACGGCCCAGACUCCUACGGGAGGCAGCAGUGGGGAAUAUUGCACAAUGGGCGCAAGCCUGAUGCAGCGACGCCGCGUGAGGGAUGACGGCCUUCGGGUUGUAAACCUCUUUCAGCAUCGACGAAGCGAAAGUGACGGUAGGUGCAGAAGAAGGACCGGCCAACUACGUGCCAGCAGCCGCCGUAA
rnacentral:rRNA from 1 species